rnacentral:rRNA from 1 species
AGUGAACGCUGGCGGUAGGCCUAACACAUGCAAGUCGAACGGCAGCACAGUAAGAGCUUGCUCUUACGGGUGGCGAGUGGCGGACGGGUGAGGAAUACAUCGGAAUCUACUUUUUCGUGGGGGAUAACGUAGGGAAACUUACGCUAAUACCGCAUACGACCUACGGGUGAAAGCAGGGGAUCUUCGGACCUUGCGCGAUUGAAUGAGCCGAUGUCGGAUUAGCUAGUUGGCGGGGUAAAGGCCCACCAAGGCGACGAUCCGUAGCUGGUCUGAGAGGAUGAUCAGCCACACUGGAACUUAGACACGGUCCAUACUCCUACGGUAGGCAGCAGUGGGGAAUAUUGGACAAUGGGCGCAAGCCUUAUCCAGCCAUACCGCGUGAGUGAAGAAGGCCUUCGGUUUGUAAAGCCCUUUUGUUGGGAAAGAAAAGCAGCAGGUUAAUACCCCGCUGUUCUGACGGUACCCAAAGAAUAAGCACCGGCUAACUUCGUG